ensembl:lncRNA
CCCGGCGGGGCGGCUGCAGCGCCGCGCGGGGGGAGCCGCGCACAGCCCCUGCCCCGAGCGAGGCAGCGCGUGUAGGAAGGAGAGAGCGUGCGAGAGGGAGGGAGGGAGCGGGGAGGGAGGGAGCGAGGGAGGGAGGGAGGGAGGCAGGGGAGGAAGGACGGGGAGAGCGCGUGUGUGCGAGAGGGGGGAGAGGCAGGGGAAAACUGCGGAGAGCGAGAAGAAAAGUGCGAUAGGAGCCCGGCCCCGGGUUGGUUUGCGCUAGAUUCUUUUAGCACCGAAAUACCUUCCGAUGAACCGCGAUGCUCAGGCUCUGAUUUACGCGCUGCAUUAUUUAUGGGGCUCUCCGGCUCCCGCCGCCGCCGCGAGGGGUGCGCAGGGGGCGCGGGGCUGCGCUGCGGGAGGCGGCGGGCGUGGAGGGGCGGGGGGGAGGGCGUCCCGCGCGGGCGCUGAGCGCGGCUACGAACGAACGGUCCGGGCACGGGGAGAGCGCGUUGGGCACCGCUCCGCGUGGGGUGAUCGCAACUCUCGAGAGCUGAGGAUGGAUCGGGAGGGGGAGGGAGCGGGGGGAAGGGGAAUCCCUUUCUGGGCUGCCAACGGAGCGUGGGAGAGGGGCUCGGAACGGAGGUCGGCCCGGCUCUGCCGGGAGAGACCCAGAUGUGCCGCGGCCGCUGUACGCGUUCCCUCCGAGCGGAGCCGGCGGGCAGCGGCGGACUCGCGUGGGCGCGUCCGUGGACUUUGCCGUACCUCGACGGGAUGCGCGCCGGGGUGUGAGCCCGGUAAUGCCUCUAACGGGAGCGCUAAUUACAGGAGGACGGUUUGGCAAAUGAAGUGAGAGGAUGCACCCCCAGCCCCGAGCACCAGAUGAACUUUUCCAAACACACGCGCACACACGCGGUAAUUUUGGUAUGCUCCCUCGGCCAAUCGCCGCGCUCAGCCCGAGCAUGCCUUACCCUAGCGCAGUCAAUUACCGGCGCUCCCCGGGCUCAUCAAUCACGGGGCGCCUCCAGUGAGGGGAGGAGCGAGCCUCCGACUAUCGAUCGCUGCAGUUUUGUCCUCCCCAGCCCCCAGCCUCGUUCACGGUCCCCUGCACAUAAAAUCUAAACCAGACUAUCCCGUUAAUAGCGGGAUUUAUCAAUGAUUGUGUACCCGGUGGUGAAUGUGGCCUCGUACAUAGGUGGCUUUUAGAAAUACACGGCAGGAAAAAAAAAAAAAUAAGAAUGAUGUGAUUUGUUCGGGUAGGGGUUGGCGUGUUUUGCGUUGCUUUUCAGGAUGAGAGUGAUGAUUUUAACUUUUUUUGUUUUUUUUUUAACUUUAAGAAAAUGACUCAGGGGCAGUUGCAGAUAUUUGGCCUGAUUUUAAUAGGAGCGGGGAAUGAGCUCCAGAGGUCAAUAAAGCCCUCCAAAAUGAUGAAUGAUUGAGUACCUGUGAUGAUGAUAGUGAUUACCGGAGCAAUUAAACAGUUUGAUUAAAUGAGCCAUCAUAACAAUGAUGUCUGCGGGAAAUCAGCCCUCACAUAUAAAGAAAGAUAGCGUGGGGCUGACGGACGCCAGUGGGCAUCCCCCGAGCUCCGGCAGCACCCGGCCCGGCGGCUGCGGGCUGGAGAAGGGGAGAAGCGGCCCCGGUGUCGGCCCCGGUGUCGGCCGGAGCUGCCCUCGUUCGCGGCCCGGAGCCGGGCACGACCCCGCGGUGCUUUUCUGAGAGGAUCUCCUCCGAGAUUAGAGCUAAAUCCUAAGAGCAACCGAAUGGCUGCGCCUGGCUUUCCCGGGACUGGGAGGAGAGCGUUGCGCCGUAUUUCUUGUAAAACACGGCCAUUCGGGAAAAUUCAAUUGGCCAAUUUCCAUUUCUCGUGCAUCACUUUCACGGCAGAGGCUGUUCCCAGGACAAGUGUGAGUGGUGAGGAGGUGCGGUGCGUGCUGGGCUUUUUUUUUUAUUAUCGUUUUUUGGGUUUUCUGUUUUUUGUUUUUCUUUUUAGAUCGGCCCCAAAGCCCAAAGAGAAAUGAGGUGUCCGGUGUGGAAGUGCAUCUCAGUCAACAGCCAGCUCCUUUGGCCGGGGCUGGAAAUGGUUUUAACAGGCGGUAAAAUUUCAUCUUGUGGUGUCAAAUUGGGGUCAGUUUGGGGUUAGCGCUCUCAGUGUCCGAGAAGGAGCUGUCCAGCUGUGUGGGGAUUCAUUAAGGGCAAAAGAUCCGUUUCAAGAAAAACAAUACAAAGACAAUCAGAGAGCUAAAGAUCCUCUUCAAAUCGCAUUUUACAAGUGCACCAGAACAAAUAUGGACGCUGAAACCUAUUCCCUUCAAACUCCCAAAUCGGCUUCUUAGCCCUCGGAGGGAGGGAAAAUCCGCUGCAGCCCGGCCGGGUCUGCUUCCAAUCACCGCCCCGAGGUGCGCCGGGCCCCGCGCCGCCCUCGCCCGCUCCCCUCUCCCCUUCGGCGCAGCGCUGCGGAGCGAUGGCACCACAACAGGGAGAUGUAUGCUUAAAGAGCCGCUGGAGCGAGCCCCGAGUUCCCGGGGGAGAAGGAAGGUUGGCCCGUGGAGAGGCAGCCGGCAGGUAUUUCAGUGACCGUCCCUUUGAACACGUUCAGUCUCUGCCUUUUCCAUCCGGAAGGUCUUCCUCAGACCAAUCGCGAUUUCUGCCUUGAUUCUUGUGUGUGUUUACGAUCGCUUCGGAGGAGAUGGUUGCCGCAGUGCGUGGCAAGUGCUUCUCCGAGAAAUCCAUCAGCCCUUCUACGGUGACUCCGAGGGAAGGGUGCUGCCAGCACUUUCGCGCAUUCCCAGGUGUUGCGAGGAGGAGAGAAGCAAAGGGCCGGAGCGC